rnacentral:lncRNA from 10 species
UUUCUGGACCCAGCACCUAGGUGAUGUGACUUUAUUCUUUUGCUGUGGCUCCACCCGUAGAGAGCAUUUUCACACAUCAAGGUGCUCUGUACACAGGUUAUGUGACUCUUUUGCCUGUGUCCAGACAACGUUGGCCAUUGUGACAUAUUGCAGGGUCCAACACCCAAAGGAAGUAACUCUUAUGACAGGGUUCUAUCUACAGAGGGCACUGUUACAUAUUUCUGUGCUCAUCAUUCAGUUGAUGUGACUCUCCUCUCCUGCCUGGGCCAUGCCUUCAGGAGAGUGGGAGAUAGGGAGAGUGACUUAUUGCUAGGCCCAGAACACAGGUGAUAUAAUACUUCUUCCAGGUCUCCUUCUUCAAGUGUUACUAUAAUAUAUCGUUAGUCCCAUCACAUAGAAGAUAUGACACUUCCGUUUUUUUCUGCAACUUAUGCACAGUGUGGAUUGUGAAAUAUGACUUGGCUUAGCACCUACAUGGUGUGAUUCUCUUCUCAUGACUAGGUCUUAUCCACUGCGUUGGUUGUGACAUAAAGCUGGGCCCAGUCACUAGGUUAUGUGACUCUCCUCUUUUUCCUGAGCCCUACCCACAAGAGGCAUUAAGACAUAUCUCUGGGCCCAUUCACCUUGGUGAUGUGAAUCUACUCCCUGGGACACCCCCCCCAGGGGUAUUAUGAAAUAUUGCUGGACCCAGCACCUUGUGAUAUGACUCUUCUCUUUUGCCUGGGCAUUGCAUACAUGUGUAUUGUAAUAUAUCGCUAUGUUAAACACCUGGGUGAUGUGACUUUCCUGCAUAAGCUCUGUCCAUAGGCAUAUGAUGAUAUCUCAUUUUGUUCAUCACCUAGGUGAUGUGACUCUACUCUUUU